rnacentral:tRNA from 1 species
GCCCCCGUAGCUCAGUGGAUAGAGCAGCGGUUUCCUAAACCGCGUGCCCUGGUUCGAUUCCGGGCGGGGGCA